rnacentral:lncRNA from 1 species
AGUAGAAUUUGAUAAAUUCUUAAUUUAUUUUAGGAAAAAUUUCAAAAACUCCCCUUGCGGUUUCAUUUUUUCUCACUUUAGCACCAUGUGGUUUAAAGUAUAUCAAGUUAGUAUCCUGUGGUUUCGCACUUUCUCACUUUAAUUAGUAUCAUGUGUUUUAAAGUGUUUCAAGUUAGUAUCCUGUGAUUUUGUACUUUCUCACUUUAGUAUCCUGUGGUUUAAUAUUUCAUUCGGAGAAAAAUAAAAACCACAGGGUAUUAACUUGAUACAAAAAUAAAUCCACAUGAUACUAAUUUGAUAUAAAAAUAAAAUCACAGAGUACUAAUUUGAUACACACUUGAAAUCACAGGGUACUAAAAUAAAAAAGUGCGAAAUCAUAGAAUAUUAACUUGAUACACUUUAAACCAUAGGGUAUGAAAAUAAAAAAGUGCGAAACACACGAGGUGUUUUGGAAGUUUUUUCUUUUUUUUUUAUAAUUAAUAAAAAUAUUUGAUAGUGAAACAAUUAUUUAAUACUUGAGGUAAGUGUA